ACCGCGACUAGGUGCUUGCACUUGGUCAAGGUGAGUGGCGAACGGGUGAGUNACACGUGGGUAACCUACCUCAUAGUGGGGGAUAACAGUCGGAAACGACUGCUAAUACCGCAUAGGACAUGGAAUCACAUGAUUCCGUGAGGAAAGGUGGCGCAACUAUCGCUAAGAGAUGGACCCGCGGUGCAUUAGCUAGUUGGUAGGGUAACGGCCUACCAAGGCGAUGAUGCAUAGCCGACCUGAGAGGGUGAUCGGCCACAUUGGGACUGAGACACGGCCCAAACUCCUACGGGAGGCAGCAGUNGGGAAUCUUCCGCAAUGGACGCAAGUCUGACGGAGCAACGCCGCGUGAGUCAAGAAGGUCUUCGGAUCGUAAAGCUCUGUUGUUAGAGAAGAACAGCGCAUAGAGUAACUGCUAUGCGUGUGACGGUAUCUAACCAGAAAGCCACGGCUAACUACGUGCCAGCCGCCGCGGUAAUACGUAGGUGGCGAGCGUUGUCCGGAUUUAUUGGGCGUAAAGGGAGUGUAGGCGGUCUUUUAAGUCUGAUGUGAAAGCCCACGGCUCAACCGUGGAGGGUCAUUGGAAACUGGGAGACUUGAGUGCAGAAGAGGAGAGCGGAAUUCCAUGUGUAGCGGUGAAAUGCGUAGAUAUAUGGAGGAACACCAGUGGCGAAGGCGGCUCUCUGGUCUGUAACUGACGCUGAGGCUCGAAAGCGUGGGGAGCAAACAGGAUUAGAUACCCUGGUAGUCCACGCCGUAAACGAUGAGUGCUAAGUGUUGGAGGGGUUCCACCCUUCAGUGCUGGAGUUAACGCAAUAAGCACUCCGCCU
rnacentral:rRNA from 1 species